CGAUUAGCUCAGCGGGAGAGCGCUUCCCUGACACGGAAGAGGUCACUGGUUCAAUCCCAGUAUCGCGCA
rnacentral:tRNA from 2 species